rnacentral:lncRNA from 1 species
ACAAAGCUGCAAAGAAAAAGUUCACUAAGACUAACCAACAGACUAACCACAAAGGUCAGAUGAAGUAAUGUCUAAUUCACCAAUCCUGAGCUUAACUUUUGCAAUAUGCAUGAACUUAUUACUGAUUGUAUAAAUGAGAUGCUGUAACAUCUAAUAAAUGAGGCUUGUUGACCAUGAUAGCAUGAGACUUGUCUCCCGCGGUUACUUCCAACACCAAUGGGAGAUGCAAGGCAGCGCCCGAGGAGAGCGGGCUCAGCUGGAGCUGGGAAAUGGCAGCACGCACCUGCGCCCUGCGGAGCAGGAGGGAGAGCUCCCAUCUGCUGGACCUGGGAUAAGCGUUGUGGAGCCAUUUCAUGAGAGGAGGAAGACAAAACGGAGGGGUGAGAGGAGCAGAAGUAAAGCAGAUACCCACGUGCAAUAGAUGGGAAAAGCCUGACGCACGGAACAAAUGGCAGCAGCUCCCAAACAGCCCUUGAAGUCCCGACGAUGCGCACACACAGCUGCAGCUCAGUGAGCUGCUGUACUGCGGGAAUGCCACCGAGCGCUCCGGCGUCAUUCCGUACCAACGACUUUCCCAAAUAAAUCUGGUUGCUGGUUUAUAUUAAUGAACUGU